UAUUGGGCAAUGGGCGCAAGCCUGACCCAGCGACGCCGCGUGCGGGAGGACGCCCCUCGGGGUGUAAACCGCUGUCAGGAGGGACGAACCCUUCGGGUGGGAAUACUGCCUGGAGCUGACGGUACCUCCAAAGGAAGCGCCGGCUAACUCCGUGCCAGCAGCCGCGGUAAUACGGAGGGUGCGAGCGUUGUUCGGAAUCACUGGGCGUAAAGCGCGUGUAGGCGGCCUCCUCAGUCUGGUGUGAAAGCCCGGGGCUCACCCCCGGAAGUGCAUUGGAUACUGGGAGGCUGGAGUACCGGAGAGGAGGGUGGAAUUCCUGGUGUAGCGGUGAAAUGCGUAGAUAUCAGGAGGAACACCGGUGGCGAAGGCGGCCCUCUGGACGGAUACUGACGCUGAGACGCGAAAGCGUGGGGAGC
rnacentral:rRNA from 1 species